rnacentral:lncRNA from 1 species
AUGGAGCAGGGUGUCAUCCCCUCCCUCAAGAUGAUCUUCAGUUACCUGGAGCUGCUGCAUGAUGAGACAGAUUAUUAUGUGGAGGGGAAUGUGCUCAGCUGUCGGAAUGAGGUAAGGAGCUGCGGCCUCACUGUGGUGAGUGUGGGUGUGUGGGAAUCAGAGAGCCCCCCUUUCAUAACAAGCCCUCUAGCUCAAUCCCUGGGGUCGGACAUUUAUUUGCAGAGUUUGAUAUACAGAGCUUGGGAUCCUAUGGCGUUGGCGGGUAGGGGAAGGGCUGGCAUCAAUGACCCCUUCCUGGUAGAGGAUCUAUUUCGGGCCAACUGUGAGAACAGGCACGUCCUGACUGGAAUUGCAGGGAAGGAGAGUUCCCAAGUUGGCAAAGGCCCCAUACUGGCUCCUUGUCCCCCUCCUCACCCCCUCCAAGAGCCCUGCAGGGUCCCCCACCCAGGCCAUGUCUCCAUCCUGUCCUUCCUCUGUCCCAGGAAUUCAAAUUCAUCAAGGACAUCGAGAUGGUCCAGAAGGCUGCAAAUCUGUACACCGUGCAGCCCAAUGAGCAUUUUGGUGCCUGGUUCCAGGCCGUGGAGCCCCUGAGUGAGGAGGCGAGGUGAGGCGGGGCAGGAGUUGGGUGAGGGGAGGGCGGACUCUCUCUGCAGACCAGCUCCAGUGUCCAUGGCCGUGGCUCCAUGGUCAGCCUCAGAUCUGGCUGCAUGGCGACCCCUGGGGCCCUGGGACUCCAGCUGCUGGGAGGCUCUGGGAGGCACAGCUCAGGCGUGGCUCCUGGGAGCCAACAACUCCACUCUGUCCUGUAGCUACAGCCUGUCCUGUCAGCUGGAGCCACGAUACCAGUGGGCCAGAAAGAUUCGACUCUUCUUCAAAGACAAGAAGAGCCACUCAUCUUCCCGCCCAGGGCUGAGUGAGUGUCUGGACUGGCAGUGGCUAAAUCCAGGGGCUCAGUACAGAUUCAGGCCAAGUCUGGGCCAGGGGAGUCAGACAGCUGUGGUGCUGGGGCCCCAGCUCCACCGCUGAGCAGUCCUGCCACGGGCGAUUCCCCUCGCAUUUCUGGGACUGGUUUGUUCCUCUGUGAAGUGGGUGACACUAAAUAUCAGCCCCUGUGUCGGGGACAGAUGGGGUGCUGUUGACUGACUGAGCCAACAGAUGGGGCACAGGGUACAGUGGGUGCAGGGAGGGGGGAGAGUAUGCUGUGAUACUGGGGCAGGCCCCCUAGGAAAUUCCUCUCUCUAUCCAGACACCAGGCCCCCAAAAAAGAGCCCAGCGGUGGUGGCAGAUGACGCUCCUGAGACCAGCUGAACUACAGCAGGGACACAGCGGGGACACUCAGGUACACAGGUCCACCUCUCAGAUGCUGAUGUGAAUGAAAACUUUGUGAUCCAUUUCCUGGGGUCCCUGAAGGCCACAAGGCAGUGGACAAUCUGCUCAUCUCCCUCACACAUUUUCCCCAGAGCCUAUUUCCCUCUUUGGAGGGGCCAUGUUUUUGUUGUCAAUGAUAAAUGCUAAGUUUGAGUAUUCUAUUAAAUUUCUGUUUUUUUUCUCAGCCUGGGAGUGGACGUGUGGUUCUUUCACUCUCUGAGCU